UGCAGAACCUGCAGCUGUGACCAAACUACGUGUUAAUAGAACAACGUCAAGUUCGGCUCUCCUUUCGUGGACUCUGCCCAGUGGCAACACUUCCAGCUAUAGCAUCAUAAUUGGAGGAGAUCUGAACCCCAUGACGGUUAACACGUCGUAUGUGAACGAUGACAGCAGUGACAGAAGAUGGGACCAAAGGGGACGCCACAUCAAUCUCUUGGUCAGCAACUGGUGUGUCUUUGAGAUAUCGACUUUCAAUUCUCAGCUUGGAUGGAUUGGAUGCACAAAAGAAAAAUCUGAUUCUUCAGAAGAUAAACACAGUUCUUCAAGGUCGAUUUGACAAAAGCUCCUUUUCUGCAUCCUGGACCGAAGAGUAAACUGCAAACUCUCUGGGGUCCCUUUGAGGCCUACGGCGCACAUGGUGCUAACGUUCAUGUCCUGCUUUCAUUCCUUUAAUGUCACAAAAUCUAGAAAGUGUGACAAACUGAGAAAUUUACAACGUGCUCUGGAUGGACCUUACUUCAACCAUUAAGAACUACUUAACUUUAGCGCAAUGGUUAAACAUUCUCAGACAUUGUGUGCCUGGAACAUCUCGUCUCUUUUGGUUUGUGGAGCCUUCAGGAGCUGAACAGCACUGGCUGAGCCAACAGCUAUAAUUAACGGUGUGAAUGGAGCACAAACCUUCCAAAUCUCCCAACUUAAUCUUCCAACUUGCAGAGCCAUCUGAGACUAGAGCCUCGAUUCAAGAGAGUGUUGGCAUGUUGGGCUCUGAUGGUUUUCUUUUUUUUAUGCCUGCUAAUUUUCUCUACCAGGUAGAAGAAGUUGCCCAACUGCUUUCUGGAAGACCCUUUGCAUUUUCUCUUUUUACAAUACGACCGAUACAAUCAAGAAUAAAUUGGUGAAGUCCGUCAUGUUUGGCAGUGACUGACUAAGCUCACCCUCGUGAUGACAUAAAUCCAUCCAUCCAUCCAUUUUCUAACCCGCUGAAUCCGAAUACAGGGUCACGGGGGUCUGCUGGAGCCAA